AUUGAACGCUGGCGGCAGGCUUAACACAUGCAAGUCGAGCGAGCGGCGGACGGGUGAGUAAUGUCUGGGAAACUGCCUGAUGGCGGGGGAUAACUACUGGAAACGGUAGCUAAUACCGCAUACACUCGGAUGUGCCCAGAUGGGAUUAGCUAGUAUGUGGGGUAAAGGCUCACCUAGGCGACGAUCCCUAGCUGGUCUGAGAGGAUGAGCAGCCACACGGGAACUGAGAAACGGUCCAGACUCCUACGGGAGGCAGCAGUGGGGAAUAUUGCACAAUGGGCGAAAGCCUGAUGCAGCCAUGCCGCGUGUAUGAAGAAGGCCUUCGGGUUGUAAAGUACUUUCAGCGGGGAGGCGUUACCCGCAGAAGAAGCACCGGCUAACUCCGUGCCAGCAGCCGCGGUAAUAC
rnacentral:rRNA from 1 species